rnacentral:sRNA from 1 species
GCGGGCAGUUGGCGACCCUGCACUGACCCGCGUCCCUCCGUCCCGAGCCCGCGCGCCCUCAGAGGGGGCCCGGACAGACUGAAGCCAUGGCGAUUCUUUUUGCUGUUGUUGCCAGGGGGACCACUAUCCUUGCCAAACAUGCUUGGUGUGGAGGAAACUUCCUGGAGGUGACAGAGCAGAUUCUGGCUAAGAUACCUUCUGAAAAUAACAAACUAACGUACUCACAUGUUAUUUGUUUCAUUACAUCUGCCAAGACAGGAUUGUAUAUCUUUGUAUCACUGAUGAUGAUUUUGAACGUUCCCGAGCCUUUAAUUUUCUGAAUGAGAUAAAGAAGAGGUUCCAGACUACUUAUGGUUCAAGAGCACAGACAGCACUUCCGUAUGCCAUGAAUAGCGAGUUCUCAAGUGUCUUAGCUGCACAGCUGAAGCAUCACUCUGAGAAUAAGGGCCUAGACAAAGUGAUGGAGACUCAAGCCCAAGUGGAUGAACUGAAAGGAAUCAUGGUCAGAAACAUAGAUCUGGUAGCUCAGCGAGGAGAAAGAUUGGAAUUAUUGAUUGACAAAACAGAAAAUCUUGUGGAUUCUUCUGUCACCUUCAAAACUACCAGCAGAAAUCUUGCUCGAGCCAUGUGUAUGAAGAACCUCAAGCUCACUAUUAUCAUCAUCAUCGUAUCA